rnacentral:rRNA from 1 species
CGUCUUUUUUAGUGUGCCCUUUUCUCUUAGUAAGACGCCGUGAUCCAUUAGAAAUUGGUAGACGCCAGUCUAUAUGAGGUCAUCAAUGGGCUCGUACGAAGUUUAUUGGAACGAAUGGCAUGAUCUUUCAACGGUCGUGUGUAUUGUCUGGUAAGCGUGCGAGUACCCGCAAUGACUGUCUGAUGGAUUUUAAAGAUUGUAUCACUGAUGUUACGGCAUCACUCGCUUCGGCGAGCGUCUGAUAUGUAUCCGAUCAACGGCGGUUAAAUUUGGGAUACCUUUUGGACCCGUCUUGAAACACGGACCAAGGAGUCUAUCUAGUGUGCGAGUAAAUGAGUUGUAAACUUAUUUGCGCAAUAAACGUAACUAUUUUAUGGGAUUACGAGUCACCAUGCUCUUCCAUCCCGGAGUAUUUUCAUCCACAUAUACGCAAGUAUAUGGAAAAUAUAUCAUGAGCAYACUGGAUACGACCCGAAAGAUGGUGAACUAUGCUUGAUCAGGUCGAAGUCAGGGGAAACCCUGAUGGAGGACCGAAGCAGUUCUGACGUGCAAAUCGAUUGUCAGAAUUGAGCAUAGGGGCGAAAGACCAAUGGAACCAUC